rnacentral:rRNA from 1 species
UACGUAGGGACCAAGCGUUGUCCGGAAUCAUUGGGCGUAAAGAGCGUGUAGGCGGCCCGGUAAGUCCGCUGUGAAAGUCCAGGGCUCAACCCUGGGAUGCCGGUGGAUACUGUCGGGCUCGAGUCCGGAAGAGGAGUGUGGAAUUCCUGGUGUAGCGGUGAAAUGCGCAGAUAUCAGGAGGAACACCAAUGGCGAAGGCAGCACUCUGGGACGUGACUGACGGCUGAGACGCGAAAGCGUGGGGAGCAAACAGG